AUACAGGGAGGGUGAGAAACCCGGGAUGCCGCUGAAGCCACUGCUCCAGGAUCUGACCCACAGGAAGUGUGCUUUGCCGAUCCGCUAGGCGGCGCACGAGACAAUCAAGUUGACACUUUCCAGGGUCCCUGCGGCGUGACUCCUCAUCAGGAAGACCUCAGAACCACGCAGCACUUUGUCCGGGAAGCCUGCGUGUAUUGGGGUUAGCGCCUUCUCUGGGGGUCUUGAGGCCAUUGCAGAAGACAGCAGUGUCACAUCUUCAUUCCUCAUGGAACUGCUGCAUGGCCUGUUUAACCCAGAAACACGGGCUGUGUGUCCUCGUGCUGUGACUGUGUCCAUCCCUUCCAGGUUCCAUUCGCAUGGCCACCUCCACCAUCAGGAUGCGGUGCAGCCCCUUCCCCUUCUCUCAUACUGUCCCAGUGUCCUCUCCCUGCCUGCCCUCUGCCCUGGGCCUCUCCCUGCUCGCCUGAGCUCCCGCACACAGGUCAGGGAGUGGAGCUCACAGCAGGGACCUGGAGACCAGCCUCGCUCACACAGCACAGCGCCUCUCUGCUGCAGCCCUGUUCCCUGGGUCACCGCGCAUAGUCCUCCCAGAGCCAGCGCAACUGUCCGUGUCCACUGUGGACUCCUGUGUGCUGUUUUUGCGUGUGAGAAAUGUGAAGGAGGCUGCUGGGAGUGUUUAUGCUCAGCUUUGUGUAUGGACCUGUUAUUUCUCUUUCCCGGAACCUGAGAUAAGGGAGUGUUGAUAGGAAAUGGCGAACUUUUCUCAAUAAGCACUGGAUGAGUCUUCUUUUUAGCACUGCAUGAUAUUAGUAUUUGCUCCAAUCCCCACCAGCAUGUGAAAUUUGUUAUCAAUUUCCCUUUUCUGUUUUUGGCCUCAUGAUUGUGCAAUGUUUUCCCAUAAGGUUAUGCUGGAGAUUCCUAAGGACUGACAGUGUGAAAAUCUUAUAAACAUUAAAUGAAUCAUUUUUUAUUUCAGUUCAGAAAAACAGUCCCAGAACUGAGAAGAGUUCAGUGCCUGUGCUUUCAGUUUUCUGGAAAAGUUGACCAUGUUUCCAUGUGCAUGUUGCUCGUGCGCACAUCUUCCUCAGAAGGAUGUGCCUUUAAAUCAAAUGCCUAGUUUUGGACGAUGCAGGGUGGUGAACCUAGAGCCUCAUACCUGCUCCUCCAGUGCCCUACCACUGAGCUAAACCCAGCCUUUGCUCUGUUUAUAAAGAUUGUGUACUGGGCUUGGGAUUCAGCGCAGUGGUUCUGGCGGCUGCAGCGUAAGCACAAGGUACCAAGUUCAAUUCCCAGUACCAAAAAAAAAAAAAGAUUGUGUACUUGCUUCUCUAGUCACUGUUGCUGUUCAGUGGGAAGUUAUUUAGAUACUGUCGAUGUUUAUGCCUAUAAUUUAUAAAAAUACUUCUCCAAGUCCAUGGAGUGUCCUUUCCCUCUAUUGAAAGUGUUCCUUGGGGAGUUUAUUUUUUAAAUUGACAAAGUAUUAUGUAUCUAUUUUUAUACCUGUGCUUUUGGUGUCUUACCCAUUAGGUUUUUGCUAAAAUCUA
ensembl:lncRNA